UACAAUGGACAACAGUCUUUUCUUUUUGAACUGUGCCCUUUUUUUAACUUAAGCUGAAAUCUCUUUCUCUCUCCCAAUGGGACUGUAAUAGACAAGUAUCACUCUCCUUAAUGGGCAAAAGCCACUUUCUUCAAUGGGCUGAAAGGCCCCUACAAUGGGCAAGAGCCAAAUAACAUUUUCAUAAUUCUUUAUAGUGUUAAUCCCCUUGUUCUAAUCUAAUUUAUUAAUCCAACUCAACUUAGAAAUAAUACUAUGAUAGGAGUUUUACUCUAUUCAGGAAAUAAUUCUCAAUUAUAUUGAGGAAUAGUUCUUCCACUCAAGUUAGAAAAAGAUCUAUUUCUAAAUCCCACUAGGAUUUUGAGUUACAAAUCUAACAUAUGAAGAUUGGGUUUACUUGGGUUUGGACCAGACAUUGCUAAAAGGUUAUAACUAGCAAAUUCGUUAAUUAGUCCUUGAUCCUCAUAGACCCCUUAAACUUGAUGUUUCUUUUAACACAAUUGUAGAGACAUUUUUUGAAACAAUUUAUUGGGAGGGACAGAAGGGCAAGGUUGGGGCCGAGUACCUUCACUUCUUGCAAGAUACUUGGUUGAUUGUGUGUGCUGUUGCAGAAGUGAAAUUGCCAAUACAUUUAUAGGGCAAAUUAUUGCAGGUUUUUCUGAAAAGAGAAGAAAAGAGGAAAAAUCAUGCUUCACUUUUGGAAGAUAUAAGAAUUCUGGAAGCAUAAACUCACAUAGAAGAAAAAAAAAGAAAAAACAACACAUUGUCCCUCACCAAGACAGAUUUUGAUAUUUGAAGAUGUGUGCAUUUCUCUUCAUCCAAAAACUCCAUAAUACAACAAAAAAACAGAAUUGUUAAUAACUUUGGCAUCUUUCUUGCUUGCCUCCAAAACCUCUCCAUGUUAAAUCAAUAGAAGUCUAAAGAUUCUAGACAUACCCAAUGCUUUUCAAAGUUGUGCUAAAAAGGUGAUCCCAAAUUGCUUAAGCCACCUCACGUUGUGAGUGACUUACUAUUCACU
rnacentral:misc_RNA from 1 species